AUCACUCAAGGCUCUGAGCCACACCCCUCCCCCCAAGAAAGACAAAAACACACAGUCUCUGGCACGCGGGCGAGGUGGGCGUGAGGGGCUGUGACAAGCAGGCUGGCUGCCCUGACCUGAACUGCCCCCAGCCGGCCGCCCCUGCAUCUUCCCUGCUCUUUCCAUCUCGGCCUCGGUUUCCUCAAAGUGCAACUCCAGGGAGGGGUCCCUGUGCCUCUGCACCAUGAGCCCAAACAGGGUCUGGAGCCUGGAUCCCACCUCAUCUGGAUUGCCCAGGCCUUUGCAGACAAGCCUUCAGAGAGGGCCCAGACCUCGGCCCUUCUGUCCUGGACUUCCCUGAGGACCUGGGUGGGGAGGGACAUGGUGGCAUGGCCAGGCCCAGGAGGGCAGAAGGCCAGAGGGUAUGGUCCAGAGUGGGUGACCCAGUGAGGGCUGUGUGGCAGAGCAGGACAAGAAAUGUGAUGGGGACGGAGGGAGGGCUGUGGCCCUUUGCCAAGCACACCCCACAUGAACCCCUGCAGGGAGACCCUCCCUGCACAUUGAGAUCCCUCCCUCCCCUACAGUAAGCCCCUCCCCCAUCACUAAGCCCCUUCUCCUCUCUCUGCGCCACCAUCCCCUCACUGUCCCUGCUCACUGUCCUCCCCCGCCUUAAGUCCCAUCCUAACUGCACUCUCUACCCUCAAGCCCCUGCCCCCCCCGCAUCCCCCUGACUUGCAGAGCAGCGAGCAGCUCAGACCCUGGUGCUGUGGCCUCUUCCAGGGUCUGGCCUGGACCCAGGCGUUUUCUAGGGGCACCUCCGGUCGGUUCCCCCUUCGUGGCACGCCGGGAAUGCAGCCCCUGCACACACAGGCCCCCUCCGCCGCGGAGAGGAGCUCAGUCCCGUGGACUUUUAAGGACUGAACAGGGAGCGAGCUCCGUCCCGGGCCUGGCCGAGCUGUCCUCCAGAUCUGGCCCCGUCACGGAGGGGCUUGGCUGGCUGCCCCAGUGGGGAGGGGUCUCAGCGCUUAGAUCAGGAAUGAACGGGGGCUGGGCACAUGUCGCGUCUGGCUGGGCCUCUGUCCCUCCUUCGGCCCCCCUUGGGUGGUGCUGAGGGCUGAGGACCCCUGCCCCUCUCUAGCAGGGGGUCCAGGCUGGGUCUCAGGG
rnacentral:lncRNA from 1 species